AUUUCAGGUUUCCUUGUUUGUUGAUCUAUAAAAUGAAGGUCCUGACAGAAGAAUGAGUUGAUUCAUCCCGUGGUAUGCAAGGCUGCUGACACAGGCAAACCCUCUGGAUGCUGGAGGAACACAAGCCAUGCCUCAUUCUACAGAAGCUCCAGCUCAUUCCAGCAGGACUUUUCAAGAAUUCUAAGGAAUCUAAAGGAUGCCGGGGAACAUUACUGAAAUGCAGAGAUUCACACAAGAGGAUUCCUGAACUACCAAAGGAUAGGUGUUAACAGUCAACCUGGGGAGGAGAGUAUUUCCUCUCAGAUUUCCUCUCAGAUUUCAUGCCUUGGUUUCACCUUGUUUUUAAAUUCCUUUUUUUUUUUUUUUACAUAAGUGAUAUUUUUUUCUCUAUUUGCUUUCCUUUCAGGUAAUUCACAAGCAGUUUGUCUUUGCUCUGCAGAUAGAAUAGACCAAUAUGCUGCACACAAUGAAAUAAGCAACAUGUCAGGAAAAAAGUAGACUAAACAUGGAUGAAAAACCUGAGGGAAAAGUUGUCUACUGUGAAGUAUUCCCAGCAGAUAUCAUUAAACUGUACAAUACAAAUCUCUUUUACGAUCCUUGCAAUGUGGAAUAUGCUUAAAAAAGAAGAGCUAACAUAUUCUUAGAUUAAGAUCUUAUCUAAAUCUUAAAGUCUGUGCUCAGGGUAUGGAGCUGUCUAGUCAUUCAGGUGCCUGCAAAAAAGUCUUGAUCACAGUGGGGAAUAGUGAAACAAAAUGAGAGGAGGAAUGAAACAUUUAAGAUGAUCUUUACUAAAAAAUGGAAUUAAUUCUUCAUUACAUUAUUAAUUCACUACUGAGCAUAAUUAAUUUAUUGGCCAUUAAUGCCACUAUUACCAUUGGGUUCUCUGGAUAAAAGCACAAUGUGACUUUCCUAACACAUUUCAAAUGCUGUAAUCAGACGGUGAAUUGCUCUUCAACAGUGCUAUCCACAUUUAAGCCAUGGAUUAUUUUGCCUCUCUAAACUGCUUUCUGAGGCUUGUAAUAACUUAAGAGACUGCAUGAAUUAUUUUGAAUAGGUCUGAUACAG
rnacentral:lncRNA from 1 species